rnacentral:rRNA from 1 species
UACGUAGGGGGCGAGCGUUGUCCGGAUUUAUUGGGCGUAAAGAGCGUGUAGGCGGCCAGGUAGGUCUGCUGUGAAAACUCGAGGCUCAACCUCGAGACGUCGGCGGAAACCAUCUGGCUAGAGUCCGGAAGAGGAGAGUGGAAUUCCUGGUGUAGCGGUGAAAUGCGCAGAUAUCAGGAGGAACACCAAUUGCGAAGGCAGCUCGCUGGGACGUUACUGACGCUGAGACGCGAAAGCUAGGGGAGCGAACGGG